GCCUGGGUGGCUCAGUCGGUUGAGCGUCCGACUUUGGCUCAGGUCAUGAUCUCGCGGUCUGUGAGUUCGAGCCCCGCAUCAGGCU
rnacentral:tRNA from 1 species